GACAGAGGUGCCGAGCGUUAGGCGGAAUCACUGGGCUUAAAGCGUGUGUAGGCGGAUCGUUAAGUACCUUGUGAAAUCCCACGGCUCAACCGUGGAACUGCCGGGCAUACUGGCGAUCUUGAGGCAUUCAGGGGCGAGCGGAACAAAUGGUGGAGCGGUGAAAUGCGUAGAUAUCAUUUGGAACGCCAAUGGUGAAAACAGCUCGCUGGGAAUGAUCUGACACUGAGACGCGAAAGCCAGGGGAGCGAACGGG
rnacentral:rRNA from 1 species